rnacentral:rRNA from 1 species
GACGAACGCUGGCGGCGUGCUUAAUACAUGCAAGUAGAACGCUGAAGGAGGAGCUUGCUUCUCUGGAUGAGUUGCGAACGGGUGAGUAACGCGUAGGUAACCUGCCUGGUAGCGGGGGAUAACUAUUGGAAACGAUAGCUAAUACCGCAUAAGAGUAGAUGUUGCAUGACAUUUGCUUAAAAGGUGCAAUUGCAUCACUACCAGAUGGACCUGCGUUGUAUUAGCUAGUUGGUGAGGUAACGGCUCACCAAGGCGACGAUACAUAGCCGACCUGAGAGGGUGAUCGGCCACACUGGGACUGAGACACGGCCCAGACUCCUACGGGAGGCAGCAGUAGGGAAUCUUCGGCAAUGGACGGAAGUCUGACCGAGCAACGCCGCGUGAGUGAAGAAGGUUUUCGGAUCGUAAAGCUCUGUUGUAAGAGAAGAACGAGUGUGAGAGUGGAAAGUUCACACUGUGACGGUAUCUUACCAGAAAGGGACGGCUAACUACGUG